rnacentral:rRNA from 1 species
ACACAUGCAAGUCGAACGGUAAGGCCCCUUCGGGGGUACACGAGUGGCGAACGGGUGAGUAACACGUGGGUGAUCUGCCCUGCACUCUGGGAUAAGCCUGGGAAACUGGGUCUAAUACCGGAUAUGAGCUCCUGUCGCAUGGCGGGGGUUGGAAAGGUUUACUGGUGCAGGAUGGGCCCGCGGCCUAUCAGCUUGUUGGUGGGGUAAUGGCCUACCAAGGCGACGACGGGUAGCCGGCCUGAGAGGGCGACCGGCCACACUGGGACUGAGACACGGCCCAGACUCCUACGGGAGGCAGCAGUGGGGAAUAUUGCACAAUGGGCGAAAGCCUGAUGCAGCGACGCCGCGUGAGGGAUGACGGCCUUCGGGUUGUAAACCUCUUUCAGCAGGGACGAAGCGAGAGUGACGGUACCUGCAGAAGAAGCACCGGCCAACUACGUGCCAGCAGCCGCGGUAAUACGUAGGGUGCGAGCGUUGUCCGGAAUUACUGGGCGUAAAGAGCUCGUAGGCGGUUUGUCGCGUCGUCCGUGAAAACUUGGGGCUCAACCCCAAGCUUGCGGGCGAUACGGGCAGACUUGAGUACUGCAGGGGAGACUGGAAUUCCUGGUGUAGCGGUGAAAUGCGCAGAUAUCAGGAGGAACACCGGUGGCGAAGGCGGGUCUCUGGGCAGUAACUGACGCUGAGGAGCG